AAUUCUGAACGGUGGAUGUCUUGGCUCCUACUACGAUGAAGAACGCAGCGAAGUGCGAUAAGCAGUGCGAAUUGCAGACCAUGAAUCAUUAGAAUUUUGAACGCUUUC
rnacentral:rRNA from 1 species